GACGAACGCUGGCGGCGUGCUUAACACAUGCAAGUCGAACGGAAAGGCCCUGCUUGCAGGGUACUCGAGUGGCGAACGGGUGAGUAACACGUGGGUGAUCUGCCCUGCACUUCGGGAUAAGCAUGGGAAACGGGGUCUAAUACCGGAGAGGAACCAUCUUUAGUGUGGUGGUUGGAAAGUUUUUUCGGUGUAGGAUGAGCUCGCGGCCUAUCAGCUUGUUGGUGGGGUAAUGGCCUACCAAGGCGGCGACGGGUAGCCGGCGUGAGAGGGUGCACGGCCACAUUGGGACUGAGACACGGCCCAGACUCCUACGAGAGGCAGCAGUGGGGAAUCUUAGACAAUGGGGGAAACCCUGAUCUAGCCAUGCCGCGUGAGCGAUGAAGGCCUUAGGGUUGUAAAGCUCUUUCAGCUGGGAAGAUAAUGACGGUACCAGCAGAAGAAGCCCCGGCUAACUCCGUG
rnacentral:rRNA from 1 species